GGCGAACGGGUGAGUAGCGCAUCGGAACGUGCCCAGUAGUGGGGGAUAGCUCGGCGAAAGCCGGAUUAAUACCGCAUACGACCCAUGGGUGAAAGCGGGGGACCGCAAGGCCUCGCGCUAUUGGAGCGGCCGAUGCCCGAUUAGCUAGUUGGUGAGGUAAAGGCUCACCAAGGCAACGAUCGGUAGCUGGUCUGAGAGGACGACCAGCCACACUGGGACUGAGACACGGCCCAGACUCCUACGGGAGGCAGCAGUGGGGAAUUUUGGACAAUGGGGGAAACCCUGAUCCAGCCAUGCCGCGUGCGGGAAGAAGGCCUUCGGGUUGUAAACCGCUUUUGGCAGGAACGAAACGGCGCGCGCUAAUACCGCGCGCUUAUGACGGUACCUGCAGAAUAAGCACCGGCUAACUACGUGCCAGCAGCCGCGGUAAUACGUAGGGUGCAAGCGUUAAUCGGAAUUACUGGGCGUAAAGCGUACGCAGGCGGCUGUGCAAGACAGGUGUGAAAUCCCCGGGCCCAACCUGGGAACUGCACUUGUGACUGCAUGGCUAGAGUCCGUA
rnacentral:rRNA from 1 species